rnacentral:rRNA from 1 species
UACGGGGGGAGCAAGCGUUGUUCGGAUUUACUGGGCGUAAAGGGCGCGUAGGCGGCCAGCACAAGUCAGUUGUGAAAUCUCCGAGCUUAACUCGGAAAGGUCAACUGAUACUGUGCGGCUAGAGUGCGGAAGGGGCAACUGGAAUUCUUGGUGUAGCGGUGAAAUGCGUAGAUAUCAAGAGGAACACCUGCGGCGAAGGCGGGUUGCUGGGCUGACACUGACGCUGAGGCGCGAAAGCCAGGGGAGCGAACGGG